UAUUAAAAUUUUUAUCUAUUUUUAUUAUUAAAAAUUGACAUGAUCGACAAAAUAACUAGAUAGUUACACAUAGUGUGCGGUGUGUACUUCAAGUUAACAUACAACUACCGCUUUUUAACAGUAAAAUUUGAUGAAAUUUUUAAUA
rfam:Gossypium hirsutum cultivar TM-1 unplaced genomic scaffold scaffold699.1, whole genome shotgun sequence